CUUUUAAUAUAAAGCAGAAUAGAAGGGAAAAUCUCAAAGUUGAUUACUUUGACACUAAGUUUUACAUAGGACACUAAGAACCACAAAAAGCUUAGGUUCUAUUGUAAAAUAGCAACCAAAUUCCAUUCUUCUUUUAAAAAUCCAAUUAGAAACAUCUUUUUUAAAAAAACAAAUUCCACAAUAAGAGUAACAGAUUUCAAAUUAACAGUAGUCUAAAAAUCUUCAAAAUAAAUGGUUUUGUAUAGCUGAGAAUAUGGUAGAAAGUGAAAGCAUAAUUUUCCAACAGUCAUUUCUUACUACAGUGUGUUUAAAAUUAUUUUUAUUACUUUUAGACUUUUUCUCAAAAUAAUUAUUCAAGGAAAUAUUUCUUAAGUGGCCCAAUAAAACUGUAGAGCCAAUAGUCAGUUACACCAUAUUCAAGGACAAGGAUAGUCAGCUAUAGAUAGGAACUGUCUAAACCACGAGAACUGAUCUCUGAUACUGAAGUACCCAGAAGUGGCUAUAUUAUCACUGACUUGAAACAGAUCUUAGUCACCCAUGUAGCAUUUAAUUCAAUGUUUGGUUCUUUGCCUCAUUUCUUUCUUAGGUCACAAUCUAUAGUCUUUAUAGAAUUUGUCUACAUUUCUUCUAAUAGAAUUAAUUUGGUUGUAGUAACUUUUGAAAAUAAAUGUAAAUGGUGAAAUCG
rnacentral:lncRNA from 1 species